rnacentral:rRNA from 1 species
CCUCAGUAACGGCGAGUGAAGCGGCAACAGCUCAAAUUUGAAAUCUGGCUCCUUCGGGGCCCGAGUUGUAAUUUGCAGAGGAUGCGUCGGGUACGGGUUCCCUCCGAGUUCCCUGGAACGGGACGCCAUAGAGGGUGAGAGCCCCGUCUGGUAGGACACCCAGCCCGUGUGACGCUCCCUCGACGAGUCGAGUAGUUUGGGAAUGCUGCUCUAACGGGAGGUAUACUCCUUCCAAGGCUAAAUACCGGCUGGAGACCGAUAGCGCACAAGUAGAGUGAUCGAAAGAUGAAAAGCACUUUGAAAAGAGAGUCAAACAGCACGUGAAAUUGUUAAAAGGGAAGCGCUCGCUACCAGACUUGGGUUCGGCGGUUCAACCGGGGCCAUGCCCCGGGGCACUCCGCCGGCCCAGGCCAGCAUCAGCUUUCCGUCGGGGGCAAAGGCGUCGGGAAUGUGGCUCACCUUCGGGUGAGUGUUAUAGCCCGGCGCGUCAUACCCUUCGGGGGGCUGAGGUACGCGCUUCUGCAAGGAU